UACGGAGGGUGCAAGCGUUGUCCGGAUUUACUGGGCGUAAAGAGCGCGCAGGCGGUCGUUCAAGUCGAGUGUGAAAGCCCCCGGCUCAACUGGGGAGGGUCACUCGAUACUGAUCGACUUGAAGGCAGGAGAGGGAAGCGGAAUUCCCGGUGUAGUGGUGAAAUGCGUAGAUAUCGGGAGGAACACCCAGGGGGAAACCAGUGGACUGGGCAUGAGCUGACGCUCAGGUGCGAAAGCGUGGGGAGCGAACCGG
rnacentral:rRNA from 1 species